AUACGUAGGUGGCAAGCGUUGUCCGGAUUUACUGGGCGUAAAGGGAGCGUAGGUGGAUAUUUAAGUGGGAUGUGAAAUACUCGGGCUUAACCUGAGUGCUGCAUUUCAAACUGAAAGUCUAGAGUGCAGGAGAGGAGAAGGGAAUUCCUAGUGUAGCGGUGAAAUGCGUAGAGAUUAGGAAGAACACCAGUGGCGAAGGCGCUUCUCUGGACUGUAACUGACGCUGAGGCUCGAAAGCGUGGGGAGC
rnacentral:rRNA from 1 species